GUGAAACCGUUUAGGGGUAAACCUGAGAAACCCGAAAGGUCGAAGGGAGAAAUUCAUUCGCGUUUCGAGGCAGGUUUCGAACGGAUCGUUGACGGAAGACGUUCGCGUUUUCCGCUCCUUUCGUUCGAAAAUCCGGUCGCGAACGCGUGCACUUUUCUCCUGGUAGGACGUCGCGAUCCGUUGGGCGUCGGUCUACGGGUUCGAGCGGAGCCCGCCGGUUGAUUCGUCAACCGGCGGACCUCGGAUUCCCGACCGGCUCGCUCGACGGUAUAAGAAAGGUUAGAGGCCGCUCUCUGGGAGCGUUCGACUCGAGGCAAGCGCGUCAGUCGGUCGGCGAUCGGACCCGGUGCCGAUUCUGACCGCUGGCGACUGUUGGCCGCGAUGUUCUCGAACAGACCUCGCAACCGAUCGGCGACGCUAUAGCUUUGGGUACUUUCAGGACCCGUCUUGAAACACGGACCAAGGAGUCUAGCAUGUGCGCGAGUCAUUGGGAUUCACUAAACCUAAAGGCGCAAUGAAAGUAAAGGUCUUCCUUGCGGAGACCGAGGGAAGACGAGCGGUUCGGCCUUAAAACCGUCCGCUCCGCAUUCCCGGGGCGUCUCGUUCUCAUCGCGAGAAGAGGCGCACCAAGAGCGUACACGCUGGGACCCGAAAGAUGGUGAACUAUGCCUGGUCAGGACGAA
rnacentral:rRNA from 1 species